UAUUUUUGUUAAUUGAUUCAUAAUAUGGAUGGACAUUAAUAGCUUGUUUUUUUAUCUUGUUUGUUUUAUUUUUUGCACUUCUUUCUCUUCUUUGUUGGUUAGUGGUUGUGGUGGGGUUUUAGGCUGGCUGGUUGGGGAAUUUUUUUCCUGGGUUUUGGCUGUUGGGCUGGUGUUCUUUUGUGGGUUUAGUAUGUUGUUUAUGUUAUGAUUACUGGUUAUUUUUUUCUGGAGGUUUGGUUGUUGAUUUGGUUGAGGUAGUUGCUUUUGUUCUUGGUUGGUUUUUGGUUUUUCUCUAUCUUAGGUUCUUGCUGGGCUUCUAUCUUGAUCGUGGUUGUUGCUGCUGGUUGGUUUUUGCUCCUUUCUCUAUGUAGGGGCUUGUCUUUGUUGGACGGUUUGGUUUCUUAUCUUUCUAGUUUAAUUUUUGUCUUGUUUCUAUUUAUCUUCCAUGUUUUUCUGUUUAAGGUAGAGGAGAUUUGUUGAGCUUGGCUUUUUUGCUGGCAGGUGAAAGGAUGCUUGCAAGGAUUUAUUCAUUCAUCUUUCUGAAGCUGUUGGAAGGAUUGUGGUCUUAUAUUUCGUGGAUUCAGUCUGUGGAUCCUAUUAUUGUGCUAGAUCAUGGUAGAGGAGAUUAUCCGAGCUUGGCUUUUUUGCUGGAAGGUGUGAGCAUGCUUGCGUGGAUUUGCUCAUUUAUCUUCUGAAGCUGCUGGAAGGAUUGUGGUCUUAUAUUUCGUGGAUUUUUUCUAUGGAUCCUACUGUUGUUGCUUGAUCGUGGUUUACUUUUUCAGUUGCUUCGGUUGUUCUGGCUGUUGUUGCUAGUCUAUAAUAGUUUAUUGGAUGGCUGUUGUUGGCUCUUUUUGAGAAAGGCAUUUUUUUGGGUGGAGGGACUUGUCUUUUCUAGAUGUUGUGGUUGUAGUUUUUUACUGCUUCUGUUAUAAUUACUGUUGUGGGGGUUGUUAGUUCUUUAUUUAUAGGGCUACUUUGUUUUUGUAGCUUU